GCCCUUCGGUUCGGAAUAACUCAGGGAAACUUGAGCUAAUACCGGAUACGCCCUUUUGGGGAAAGGUUUACUGCCGAAGGAUCGGCCCGCGUCUGAUUAACUAGUUGGUGAGGUAACGGCUUACCAAGGCGACGAUCAGUAGCUGGUCUGAGAGGAUGAUCAGCCACACUGGGACUGAGACACGGCCCAAACUCCUACGGGAGGCAGCAGUGGGGAAUAUUGGACAAUGGGGGCAAGCCUGAUCCAGCCAUGCCGCGUGAGUGAUGAAGGCCUUAGGGUUGUAAAGCUCUUUUGUCCGGGACGAUUAUGACGGUACCGGAAGAAUAAGCCCCGGCUAACUUCGUGCCAGCAGCCGCGGUAAUACGAAGGGGGCUAGCGUUGCUCGGAAUCACUGGGCGUAAAGGGCGCGUAGGCGGCUUAUUUAGUCGAGGGUGAAAGCCCGUGGCUCAACCACGGAAUGGCCUUCGAUACUGGAUGGCUUGAGACCGGAAGAGGACAGCGGAACUGCGAGUGUAGAGGUGAAAUUCGUAGAUUUUCGCAAGAACACCAGUGGCGAAGGCGGCUGUCUGGUCCGAAUCUGACGCUGAGGCGCGAAAGCGUGGGGAGCAAACAGGAUUAGAUACCCUGGUAGUCCACGCUGUAACGAUGAAUGCUAGCCGUUGGGGUGCUUGCACCUCAGUGGCGCCGCUACGCAUUAAGCAUUCCGCCUGGGGAGUACGGUCGCAGAUUAAACUCACAGGAAUUGACGGCGG
rnacentral:rRNA from 1 species